UACGUAGGAUGCAAGCGUUGUCCGGAAUUAUUGGGCGUAAAGAGCGAGCAGGCGGUUACUCAAGUCAGAUGUAAAAUAUCCCGGCUUAGCCGGGAGGGGCCAUUUGAAACUGGGUAACUAGAGUGAAGCAGAGGAUAGCGGAAUUCCCGGUGUAGUGGUGAAAUGCGUAGAUAUCGGGAGGAACACCAGUGGCGAAGGCGGCUAUCUGGGCUUUAACUGACGCUGAGGCGCGAAGGCUAGGGGAGCAAACAGG
rnacentral:rRNA from 1 species